UUUAGUACCAGUUGCUGGGAAAAGUGCUGGACACUUCUGCUUCCAUACAUUCACUAGGAGGAUUGAAAGCUGGACCUUAGUUCUACCACUCUCCCUUAGACAGGUUCUCCUCCAGGCUGUUUUAUCAUAGUUCUACUUUUGCCACUGCUGGGCUUCUACUAGGUCCCCAAGGAUUGGCAUAUCCCGACCCAAUACAACCUGGUAUGGAAGUUUAUCCAUCACUCCAAGUGUAAGCAAAUGCUCCUGUUCAUGUACUUGCAGUACAACAUCAUCACCAUGAACACACCGGACUUUAACACAUAACGUGGUGUCUCUGGGAAGACAAUCUUGCCUAAUAAGAGUACAGCUACUACCUGAAUCUAAUAGAGCGACACAAGGCUUUCCCUGAAUAAAAAACACAGAUUGUGUGCUCCUGAGCACUUGAGGGUUCUACAGACUCAGGUUCUUCCUCUAACAAAUUAAAACACUCUGGUGAAAAACACACCAAAAAACAGCAAGUCUUACUGACUUGGGCAAUUAGCCUUAAAAUGACCAGUUAGGCCACAAGAGUGACAAACCAACUGACCUCUCCAUUUAAAUUCCCUAACACAGUUAUUGCUACUGAUUGGGGAAUUUUCUUUGGAAUACUUUGGUCUGUGUCUUUUCCUUUGGAACCAUCCACUUUUCAUACAGGUCUUUAAGGCGUGUUCGCAGCUGCUUGGGUGUCUCAUCUUCCUUCACCGUUGUGGCCCGGAACCUCGAAUAAGUCCAAGUACUUAUUUCAAAUUUUUCCAACACAGCAGUUUUUACCUUGUCAUAGUCCAUUGUGUCAUCGGUGUCCAUAGCUACAUAAGCAGCUCUUGCUUUACCACUGAGAAAUGGUGCCAGAUGUUGCAAUUCUUUGAAAUGUUGUUAAAUAAUGUUCAAUAUCUUCAUCCUCACCAUAGGGUUGCAUCUUUGAACCUUUCCAACUGGGUGGUCUCAGACUGGAUGCUUUUGGUUCCCCAGAUGUGCUUGGAAGGCUUCCUCCCUGUUGUACUGAUUAUGGCACUUUUGAUCUUACUGCAGCACUGAGAAGCCUUCCAGGAUCAGCUACUGCACCUUCCAGCUGCAUCUGAUGCUCUCGGCGUUCCAUGUGGACCUCCUGCUGAAGUAGACCGAAGUGGUGUUGCAUUUUCCUACAUAGUAAGUGAAGGAAAGUUGCUAACUAAUGUUUAAAUUUUAGCAUUACAAAUCAGAAAAAAGAAUAAGGGACAAGUGGUGAACACAAACUGAACCACUUUGUCACAGGCUGUAUCAUUUUUCCUUUUUGUUCUAAAAUAGACGAUUAAAUGGUUUCAUCUUAAGAUUUUGUUCAGUGAUACCUCUUUAAUACUUCCAUUUUUAUCAUUAGAGCUUUGUAUGAAUUAAUAACUUUAUUUCAGACAAUCCAGUAAAAUCAUACAUUUAAUGCAUACGAACAUUACGUAUAAUCAAUGAUAUAUAUCAGUAUGUUAAAUGUAUAAUUAAGUGUUUAUGUCUGAAAAAGGUAAUGAAGAAUAUGCUGGUGAAGAUUCUCAGUCAUCCAGGUCAUAGUGGAGAACCUGCUUGGAAUGCAUUAAAAUUAAAGAUUGUUUUGGGGUUUUGUGGUAAACGAUUUUGAUGAGCUAUCCCAAAAAAAACAAACAAACAAAAAAAAAACAAUCCACUGGAAUUAGUCUCCAAGUUUGAAGACGUUUCGCUUCCAGAAAGCUUUCUCAAUUAAAAAUGUCAGAAUUAGCGUUUAGUUAGAAGCUUUAUGCAGUAGCCCAAAAACUUGUUUUGAUUUAGAAAAGAUGCGAAUUGAACCAGAAGAACAGGUCUGCCCUUUAGGAAUGGGAAGUUAUUUGGGUUUUUUUGUUAGCCUGCAAUACCCCAAUACUGGGUUAUGCCUCAGAAAGGGAGGCAAUGAAGAAGUAAAACGUAUACCCCUUCCACUUUUGUGCAGUCCUUAACACAAACCCUCUUCCCAAUUCCUACUAAAGUUAUGAGUACCAUCUUUUUUAUUUGUUUAACUUUUUCUAAAUGUAAUUUAAAACUAUCAGCUUUAAUUAAUAGACAUGACAAUUUUUUUUUUACCGAACUUCAUAAGUAGCAUUAUAUUUGCAUAUACAGUAUGGGCAACA